UGCUUGUUGUCUGCUGAUAUAUACAACAUGACAUGUCUGCCUGUUUAUGCAGGAGGUGAGCAGAGGGUGGGGAAGGAACAACAGGUAACAGUGGCUCUUCAGAGAGGAGGAGUGUGUGGAACGGUCUGUGGACCUCCAGAGUUAACGGCACAUGUUCUGCCCCUUUGGAGACAGCUGAGUUUCAUAUUGGUGUCCCCCUCCCUGGCCAAGCAGCACCAUGUGCAAGAGCUGAGAAAUCCCAGCGUGUGAUACCUCUUUCAGAGCUGCUGCAAAAGGGCUGAAGUACAGAGAGUAAUUCACCUAAGAAAACAGCACGGAGCCGUAACAGACAACUUUGUUGAUACGCUCAAACGAGUUGAGCAGCAAGGCCGUGAAGAAGCAGAAACACGCCUCAGCACAUUCUAGG